UAGGGUUGGGCUUGGAGCUAGGAUUUUUCUGAGUGCAAUGAACCAACUCCCGAGUCUCUAGGACGUUCCUAAAAAAAUUUGAUUUUUUCCCAUAGGAAUGCAUGGGUUAGGGUUAGGGUUAGAGUUGGAGCUAGGGUUAGGGUUAGGGUUAGGGUUGGGUUAGGGUUAGUGCCAACCCAAUUUUUCACCUUCCAGAAUAGUGUUAGGAGCACGUUUCAGGGCACGGGGAGUCUAUUGAACCUAAUUCUGGGGGAAGUUUUUUGAAAGGUUUACUUAGGGUUUGGGUUAGGGUUAGGGUUGGAGCUAGGGUUAAGGUUGGAGCUAGGGUUAGGGUUAGGGUUAGGAUUAGGGUGGAGCUAGGGUUAGGGUUAGGGUUAGAGCUAGGGUUAGGGUUGGGGCUAGGGUUAGGGUUAGGGUUAAGGUUGGAGCUAGGGUUAGGGUUAGGGUUAGGGUUGGAGCUAGGGUUAGGGUUAGGGUUAGGGUUGGAGUUCGGGUUAGUGUUGGAGCUAGGGUUAGGGUUAGGGUUAGGGUUGGAGUUAGGGUUUGUGUUGGAGCUAGGGUUAGGGUUGGGGUUGUAGUUAGGGUUAGUGUUGGAGCUAGCGUUAGGGUUGGGCUUGGAGCUAGAAUUUUUCUGAGUGCAAUGAACCAACUCCCGAGUCUCUAGGACGUUCCUAAAAAAAAUUGAUUUUUUCCCAUAGGAAUGCAUGGGUUAGGGUUAGGGUUAGUGUUGGAGUUAGGGUUAGGGUUAGGGUUAGGGUUGGAGUUAGGGUUAGUGUUGGAGCUAGGGUUAGGGUUGGGCUUGGAGCUAGGAUUUUUCUGAGUGCAAUGAACCAACUCCCGAGUCUCUAGGACGUUCCUAAAAAAAAUUGAUUUUUUCCCAUAGGAAUGCAUGGGUUAGGGUUAGGGUUAGAGUUGGAGCUAGGGUUAGGGUUAGGGUUAGGGUUGGGUUAGGGUUAGUGCCAACCCAAUUUUUCACCUUCCAGAAUAGUGUUAGGAGCACGUUUCAGGGCACGGGGAGUCUAUAGAACCUAAUUCUGGGGGAAGUUUUUUGAAAGGUUUACUUAGGGUUAGGGUUGGAGCUAGGGUUAAGGUUGGAGCUAGGGUUAGGGUUAGGGUUAGGAUUAGGGUGGAGCUAGGGUUAGGGUUAGGGUUAGAGCUAGGGUUAGGGUUGGGGCUAGGGUUAGGGUUAGGGUUAAGGUUGGAGCUAGGGUUAGGGUUAGGGUUAGGGUUGGAGCUAGGGUUAGGGUUAGGGUUAGGGUUGGAGCUAGGGUUAGGGUUAGGGUUGGAGUUAGGGUUAGUGUUGGAGCUAGGGUUAGGGUUGGGCUUGGAGCUAGGAUUUUUCUGAGUGCAAUGAACCAACUCCCGAGUCUCUAGGACGUUCCUAAAAAAAUUUGAUUUUUUUCCCCAUAGGAAUGCAUGGGUUAGGGUUAGGGUUAGGGUUGGAGCUAGGGUUAGGGUUAGGGUUAGGGUUGGAGUAAGGGUUAGUGUUGGAGCUAGGGUUAGGGUUGGGCUUGGAGCUAGGAUUUUUCUGAGUGCAAUGAACCAACUCCCGAGUCUCUAGGACAUUCCUAAAAAAAUUUGAUUUUCUUCCCAUAGGAAUGCAUGGGUUAGGGUUAGGGUUAGGGUUGGAGUUAGGGUUAGUGUUGGAGCUAGGGUUAGGGUUGGGCUUGGAGCUAGGAUUUUUCUGAGUGCAAUGAACCAACUCCCGAGUCUCUAGGACGUUCCUAAAAAAAUUUGAUUUUUUUCCCCAUAGGAAUGCAUGGGUUAGGGUUAGGGUUAGGGUUGGAGCUAGGGUUAGGGUUAGGGUUAGGGUUGGAGUAAGGGUUAGUGUUGGAGCUAGGGUUAGGGUUGGGCUUGGAGCUAGGAUUUUUCUGAGUGCAAUGAACCAACUCCCGAGUCUCUAGGACAUUCCUAAAAAAAUUUGAUUUUUUUCCCCAUAGGAAUGCAUGGGUUAGGGUUAGGGUUAGGGUUGGAGCUAGGGUUAGGGUUAGGGUUAGGGUUGGAGUAAGGGUUAGUGUUGGAGCUAGGGUUAGGGUUGGGCUUGGAGCUAGGAUUUUUCUGAGUGCAAUGAACCAACUCCCGAGUCUCUAGGACAUUCCUAAAAAAAUUUGAUUUUCUUCCCAUAGGAAUGCAUGGGUUAGGGUUAGGGUUAGGGUUGGAGUUAGGGUUAGUGUUGGAGCUAGGGUUAGGGUUGGGCUUGGAGCUAGGAUUUUUCUGAGUGCAAUGAACCAACUCCCGAGUCUCUAGGACGUUCCUAAAAAAAUUUGAUUUUUUUUCCCAUAGGAAUGCAUGGGUUAGGGUUAGGGUUAGGGUUGGAGCUAGGGUUAGGGUUAGGGUUAGGGUUGGAGUAAGGGUUAGUGUUGGAGCUAGGGUUAGGGUUGGGCUUGGAGCUAGGAUUUUUCUGAGUGCAAUGAACCAACUCCCGAGUCUCUAGGACGUUCCUAAAAAAAUUUGAUUUUUUUCCCCAUAGGAAUGCAUGGGUUAGGGUUAGGGUUAGGGUUGGAGCUAGGGUUAGGGUUAGGGUUAGGGUUGGAGUAAGGGUUAGUGUUGGAGCUAGGGUUAGGGUUGGGCUUGGAGCUAGGAUUUUUCUGAGUGCAAUGAACCAACUCCCGAGUCUCUAGGACAUUCCUAAAAAAAUUUGAUUUUCUUCCCAUAGGAAUGCAUGGGUUAGGGUUAGGGUUAGGGUUGGAGUUAGGGUUAGUGUUGGAGCUAGGGUUAGGGUUGGGCUUGGAGCUAGGAUUUUUCUGAGUGCAAUGAACCAACUCCCGAGUCUCUAGGACGUUCCUAAAAAAAUUUGAUUUUUUUUCCCAUAGGAAUGCAUGGGUUAGGGUUAGGGUUAGGGUUGGAGCUAGGGUUAGGGUUAGGGUUAGGGUUGGAGUAAGGGUUAGUGUUGGAGCUAGGGUUAGGGUUGGGCUUGGAGCUAGGAUUUUUCUGAGUGCAAUGAACCAACUCCCGAGUCUCUAGGACGUUCCUAAAAAAAUUUGAUUUUUUCCCAUAGGAAUGCAUGGGUUAGGGUUAGGGUUAGGGUUGGAGCUAGGGUUAGGGUUAGGGUUGGAGUUAGGGUUAGUGUUGGAGCUAGCGUUAGGGUUGGGCUUGGAGCUAGGAUUUUUCUGAGUGCAAUGAACCAACUCCCGAGUCUCUAGGACGUUCCUAAAAAAAAUUGAUUUUUUCCCAUAGGAAUGCAUGGGUUAGGGUUAGGGUUAGGGUUGGAGCUAGGGUUAGGGUUAGGGUUAGGGUUGGAGUUAGGGUUAGUGUUGGAGCUAGCGUUAGGGUUGGGCUUGGAGCUAGGAUUUUUCUGAGUGCAAUGAACCAACUCCCGAGUCUCUAGGACGUUCCUAAAAAAAAUUGAUUUUUUCCCAUAGGAAUGCAUGGGUUAGGGUUAGGGUUAGAGUUGGAGCUAGGGUUAGGGUUAGGGUUAGGGUUGGGUUAGGGUUAGUGCCAACCCAAUUUUUCACCUUCCAGAAUAGUGUUAGGAGCACGUUUCAGGGCACGGGGAGUCUAUAGAACCUAAUUCUGGGGGAAGUUUUUUGAAAGGUUUACUUAGGGUUUGGGUUAGGGUUAGGGUUGGAGCUAGGGUUAAGGUUGGAGCUAGGGUUAGGGUUAGGGUUAGGAUUAGGGUGGAGCUAGGGUUAGGGUUAGGGUUAGAGCUAGGGUUAGGGUUGGGGCUAGGGUUAGGGUUAGGGUUAAGGUUGGAGCUAGGGUUAGGGUUAGGGUUAGGGUUGGAGCUAGGGUUAGGGUUAGGGUUAGGGUUGGAGCUAGGGUUAGGGUUAGGGUUGGAGCUAGGGUUAGGGUUGGGCUUGGAGCUAGGAUUUUUCUGAGUGCAAUGAACCAACUCCCGAGUCUCUAGGACGUUCCUAAAAAAAAUUGAUUUUUUUCCCAUAGGAAUGCAUGGGUUAGGGUUAGGGUUAGGGUUGGAGCUAGGGUUAGGGUUAGGGUUAGGGUUGGAGUUAAGGGUUAGUGUUGGAGCUAGGGUUAGGGUUGGGCUUGGAGCUAGGAUUUUUCUGAGUGCAAUGAACCAACUCCCGAGUCUCUAGGACGUUCCUAAAAAAAAUAGAUUUUUUCCCAUAGGAAUGCAUGGGUUAGGGUUAGGGUUAGGGUUGGAGCUAGGGUUAGGGUUAGGGUUAGGGUUGGAGUUAGGGUUAGUGUUGGAGCUAGGGUUAGGGUUAGGGUUAGGGUUGGAGUUAGGGUUUGUGUUGGAGCUAGGGUUAGGGUUGGGCUUGGAGCUAGGAUUUUUCUGAGUGCAAUGAACCAACUCCCGAGUCUCUAGGACGUUCCUAAAAAAAUUUGAUUUUUUCCCAUAGGAAUGCAUGGGUUAGGGUUAGGGUUAGGGUUGGAGCUAGGGUUAGGGUUAGGGUUGGAGUUAGGGUUAGUGUUGGAGCUAGCGUUAGGGUUGGGCUUGGAGCUAGGAUUUUUCUGAGUGCAAUGAACCAACUCCCGAGUCUCUAGGACGUUCCUAAAAAAAAUUGAUUUUUUCCCAUAGGAAUGCAUGGGUUAGGGUUAGGGUUAGUGUUGGAGUUAGGGUUAGGGUUAGGGUUAGGGUUGGAGUUAGGGUUAGUGUUGGAGCUAGCGUUAGGGUUGGGCUUGGAGCUAGGAUUUUUCUGAGUGCAAUGAACCAACUCCCGAGUCUCUAGGACGUUCCUAAAAAAAAUUGAUUUUUUCCCAUAGGAAUGCAUGGGUUAGGGUUAGGGUUAGAGUUGGAGCUAGGGUUAGGGUUAGGGUUAGGGUUGGGUUAGGGUUAGUGCCAACCCAAUUUUUCACCUUCCAGAAUAGUGUUAGGAGCACGUUUCAGGGCACGGGGAGUCUAUAGAACCUAAUUCUGGGGGAAGUUUUUUGAAAGGUUUACUUAGGGUUUGGGUUAGGGUUAGGGUUGGAGCUAGGGUUAAGGUUGGAGCUAGGGUUAGGGUUAGGGUUAGGAUUAGGGUGGAGCUAGGGUUAGGGUUAGGGUUAGAGCUAGGGUUAGGGUUGGGGCUAGGGUUAGGGUUAGGGUUAAGGUUGGAGCUAGGGUUAGGGUUAGGGUUAGGGUUGGAGCUAGGGUUAGGGUUAGGGUUAGGGUUGGAGCUAGGGUUAGGGUUAGGGUUAGUGUUGGAGCUAGGGUUAGGGUUGGGCUUGGAGCUAGGAUUUUUCUGAGUGCAAUGAACCAACUCCCGAGUCUCUAGGACGUUCCUAAAAAAAUUUGAUUUUUUCCCAUAGGAAUGCAUGGGUUAGGGUUAGGGUUAGGGUUGGAGCUAGGGUUAGGGUUAGGGUUAGGGUUGGAGUAAGGGUUAGUGUUGGAGCUAGGGUUAGGGUUGGGCUUGGAGCUAGGAUUUUUCUGAGUGCAAUGAACCAACUCCCGAGUCUCUAGGACAUUCCUAAAAAAAUUUGAUUUUUUUCCCAUAGGAAUGCAUGGGUUAGGGUUAGGGUUAGGGUUGGAGUUAGGGUUAGUGUUGGAGCUAGGGUUAGGGUUGGGCUUGGAGCUAGGAUUUUUCUGAGUGCAAUGAACCAACUCCCGAGUCUCUAGGACGUUCCUAAAAAAAUUUGAUUUUUUUUCCCAUAGGAAUGCAUGGGUUAGGGUUAGGGUUAGGGUUGGAGCUAGGGUUAGGGUUAGGGUUAGGGUUGGAGUAAGGGUUAGUGUUGGAGCUAGGGUUAGGGUUGGGCUUGGAGCUAGGAUUUUUCUGAGUGCAAUGAACCAACUCCCGAGUCUCUAGGACAUUCCUAAAAAAAUUUGAUUUUCUUCCCAUAGGAAUGCAUGGGUUAGGGUUAGGGUUAGGGUUGGAGUUAGGGUUAGUGUUGGAGCUAGGGUUAGGGUUGGGCUUGGAGCUAGGAUUUUUCUGAGUGCAAUGAACCAACUCCCGAGUCUCUAGGACGUUCCUAAAAAAAUUAGAUUUUUUCCCAUAGGAAUGCAUGGGUUAGGGUUAGGGUUAGGGUUGGAGCUAGGGUUAGGGUUAGGGUUAGGGUUGGAGUUAGGGUUAGUGUUGGAGCUAGGGUUAGGGUUGGGCUUGGAGCUAGGAUUUUUCUGAGUGCUAUGAACCAACUCCCGAGUCUCUAGGACGUUCCUAAAAAAAUUUGAUUUUUUCCCAUAGGAAUGCAUGGGUUAGGGUUAGGGUUAGGGUUGGAGCUAGGGUUAGGGUUAGGGUUAGGGUUGGAGCUAGGGUUAGGGUUAGGGUUAGGGUUGGAGUUAGGGUUAGUGUUGGAGCUAGGGUUAGGGUUGGGCUUGGAGCUAGGAUUUUUCUGAGUGCAUUGAACCAAGUCCCGAGUCUCUAGGACAUUCCUAAAAAAAUUUGAUUUUUUCCCAUAGGAAUGCAUGGGUUAGGGUUAGGGUUAGGGUUGGAGCUAGGGUUAGGGUUAGGGUUAGGGUUGGAGUUAGGGUUUGUGUUGGAGCUAGGGUUAGGGUUGGGCUUGGAGCUAGGAUUUUUCUGAGUGCAAUGAACCAACUCCCGAGUCUCUAGGACGUUCCUAAAAAAAUUUGAUUUUUUCCCAUAGGAAUGCAUGGGUUAGGGUUAGGUUUAGGGUUGGAGUUAGGGUUAGGGUUAGGGUUGGAGUUAGGGUUAGUGUUGGAGCUAGGGUUAGGGUUGGGCUUGGAGCUAGGAUUUUUCUGAGUGCAAUGAACCAACUCCCGAGUCUCUAGGACGUUCCUAAAAAAAUUUGAUUUUUUCCCAUAGGAAUGCAUGGGUUAGGGUUAGGGUUAAGGUUGGAGCUAGGGUUAGGGUUAGGGUUAGGGUUGGGUUAGGGUUAGGGUUAGGGUUAGAGUUAGGGUGGAGCUAGGGUUAGGGUUGGGGCUAGGGUUAGGGUUAGGGUUGGGGCUAGGGUUAGGUUUGGGUUAGGGUUAAGGUUGGAGCUAGGGUUAGGGUUAGGGUUAGGGUUGGAGCUAGGGUUAGGGUUAGGGUUAGGGUUGGAGUUAGGGUUAAGGUUGGAGCUAGGGUUAGGGUUGGGCUUGGAGCUAGGAUUUUUCUGAGUGCAAUGAACCAACUCCUGAGUCUCUAGGACGUUCCUAAAAAAAUUGAUUUUUUCCCAUAGGAAUGCAUGGGUUCGGUUUAGGAUUAGGGUUGGAGCUAGGGUUAGGGUUAGGGUUAGGGUUGGAGUUAGGGUUAGUGUUGAAGCUAGGGUUAGGGUUGGGCUUGGAGCUAGGAUUUUUCUGAGUGCAAUGAACCAACUCCUGAGUCUCUAGGACGUUCCUAAAAAAAUUUGAUUUUUUCCCAUAGGAAUGCAUGGGAAAAAAAAAUUGAAAAAUGUUCUAAGUGCCAACCCAAUUUUUCACCUUCCAGAAUAGUGUUAGGAGCACGUUUCAGGACACGGGGAGUCUAUAGAACCUAAUUCUGGGGGAAGUUUUUUGAAAGGUUUACUUAGGGUUUGGGUUAGGGUUAGGGUUGGAGCUAGGGUUAGGGUUAGGGUUAAGGUUGGAGCUAGGGUUAGGGUUAGGAUUAGGGUGGAGCUAGGGUUAGGGUUAGGGUUAGAACUAGGGUUAGGGUUGGGGCUAGGGUUAGGGUUAGGGUUAAGGUUGGAGCUAGGGUUAGGGUUAGGGUUAGGGUUGGAGCUAGGGUUAGGGUUAGGGUUAGGGUUGGAGCUAGGGUUAGGGUUAGGGUUGGAGUUAGG